UCAGGCCUAACACAUGCAAGUCGAGCGGUAGCAGGAAGUGCUUGCACUUCGCUGACGAGCGGCGGACGGGUGCGUAACACGUAGGAAUCUGCCUGGUAGUGGGGGAUAGCCCGGAGAAAUCCGGAUUAAUACCGCAUACGCCCUACGGGGGAAAGGAGGGGAUCUUCGGACCUUUCGCUAUCAGAUGAGCCUGCGUCGGAUUAGCUUGUUGGUGGGGUAAAGGCCUACCAAGGCGACGAUCCGUAGCUGGUCUGAGAGGAUGAUCAGCCACACUGGGACUGAGACACGGCCCAGACUCCUACGGGAGGCAGCAGUGGGGAAUAUUGCACAAUGGGCGAAAGCCUGAUGCAGCCAUGCCGCGUGUGUGAAGAAGGCCCUAGGGUUGUAAAGCACUUUCAGUGGGGAGGAAAGGUUGAAGGUUAAUACCCUUCAGCUGUGACGUUACCCACAGAAGAAGCACCGGCUAACUCCGUGCCAGCAGCCGCGGUAAUACGGAGGGUGCGAGCGUUAAUCGGAAUUACUGGGCGUAAAGCGUGCGUAGGCGGCCACCUAAGUUGGAUGUGAAAGCCCCGGGCUCAACCUGCGAACUGCAUCCAAAACUGGGUGGCUAGAGUACGGGAGAGGAGUGUGGAAUUUCCUGUGUAGCGGUGAAAUGCGUAGAUAUAGGAAGGAACACCAGUGGCGAAGGCGACACUCUGGC
rnacentral:rRNA from 1 species